GGGAAAUUUAGUUUUUUGGAAAUUUACUUGCAUAAGUAGGGCGUUUCCAGAUAACUCCUCCUACAGUUUGAAUGCUAGGAGUUUAUCACUCUGCUGGAUGUUUGCACAUAAUUUGAAGGUGUGCAUGUAGUCAGGUUUUUUUCUUUUUUCUUAUUUUUCCUCUUUUGGGAGAAAAAUUGAACUUAUUCCUUUUUGGGGUAUAAAUGAGUGGAAUGCGGGGGCAUUACUUUGUCUAGUUUACAUUUUUCUCUCGUGUUGUGCUGUUACGUAUACACUUCUGUUACAGUCCAAUGUUAGGUUAGAAUGCAUCGCUCACCUAUAGCUACAUGUUAAACUCCGCCACAAGCACUUUCUUUAUAUAUAAAAUUGAGAAUGGAAAUGUGGAAUGUGCCAAAGAGACAACAACCCGACCUUAGAGCAGACAACAGCAGAAG
rnacentral:lncRNA from 1 species